CUUGGGACGUUAAAACGUUCUGGCUGAAUUCACUUGAUUCGAACAUUUAUAUGCUUACUGGCAAUGGAGUAUUUAAUAUUGUCUAAAGCUUAUCUUUUUUGAGAAUCGUGUCAUCCUUAUCUCCGAAACCAAACGAUCUUGUCAAUGUCUUUGUGAAGAAGUGAUGAGAGUCAAAAUUAGUACCACAAAAUGUCUCUGCAAAUCAUCACUGUCACCAUCACAGUAUCUCGGUUUUAUUCAUGGAGAUAAGGUGCCCACGGGGCUCAGAAUUCUGAUCUGGUAAUCAUGUCAGCCACGCAUACAUUCAUGUAUAAAUAUGGUAUGUCCCCAGUUGACAGGUUUAAUUUAUUUACGUGGGCCUGGCCAUCCAUGAAGCACGUAUCUUGCGUAAACUUGCUUCCUAAAGGAGGCAAAACGUGAGGCUAGUGCAAUUUCAGGCAUGCCUUCCAAUCCAAGGCUCGUAAAUCAGUCACGUUGGGGAAAUGUACUUGUAAGUUCAGUCGCGACUGCAUUCAUUUAGGCUGUGCGUGGUGCCUGCCAGCAUGUUUGUGCUCUGCGUUGAUGAGUAAAGUACUGCAGUUAACUAGCAGCGUUAACAGGAUCUCAUAUGAGCCAUGUGAGGUGCAGAUAAGGGCACAUCCAUAUCAUUGUUGGAAAAGAUUUUGCAGUGUGAGAAUUUUAGUUCUGUCAAAUGAAACAGGUUUUCUGGAGGAGGUGCGAGGGUUAACUUGGGAUUUUGGCUGUCAUACAUUGACAUCCCACAUGGUGCUAACUCAUCCUCAAGAGUCAGAUAGCAUGGGUAGAGAGAUAGAUAGCUUAUACCUAUGGAUGAUGAGAAUAGGCUCUAAACAAAAGGCAUAGCAGCCUGUUCGUGGCAGGAUCUCGAUAGGGCAAGAAAACCUCCACUAUUGCUAGCAGGAUGCAGAAGUCUGCGGCAGUGGAUCUGACUCCUGAGAGUUCUGAUUGCAGAGUUCAGUUGCCGCAGAUUUCUCCUAGUGUCAACUUUGAUUUUCUUGCUCUUAUGAUUUGGAAAGCAGGAUCAAAAUGCUAACCAUGCUGCCAGUUGACAAAACCAAGUUGCCGCAGGUUUCUCCAAGCGUCAACUUUGGUUGACCUCAAACCAUUAAACAAGCAACUCACCGUUGCAUCAGAAGACACAUAACCACCUAUAAUCAGCUAUUAGAUUUUUUACAGGGUCACCAGUAGUUCAUGGCAAGGACCAGCAAAGGCAACGCAUGGAAGAUAUAGCAGGAACGGGUAAUAUUAUUUAAACCAUACAAGACAACAAUCUAGUUUGGUGAAACAUUGCUUAUUCUGCUCAAAGUUUCAAUUCAGUACACAACUCGAGUUCAUUACAUGACACACAUUUCCAUCAUUUUACUAUAAC